UUAAGCGACUAAGCGUACACGGUGGAUGCCCUGGCAGUCAGAGGCGAUGAAGGACGUGCUAAUCUGCGAUAAGCGUCGGUAAGGUGAUAUGAACCGUUAUAACCGGCGAUUUCCGAAUGGGGAAACCCAGUGUGUUUCGACACACUAUCAUUAACUGAAUCCAUAGGUUAAUGAGGCGAACCGGGGGAACUGAAACAUCUAAGUACCCCGAGGAAAAGAAAUCAACCGAGAUUCCCCCAGUAGCGGCGAGCGAACGGGGAGGAGCCCAGAGCCUGAAUCAGUGUGUGUGUUAGUGGAAGCGUCUGGAAAGGCGCGCGAUACAGGGUGACAGCCCCGUACACAAAAAUGCACAUGCUGUGAGCUCGAUGAGUAGGGCGGGACACGUGGUAUCCUGUCUGAAUAUGGGGGGACCAUCCUCCAAGGCUAAAUACUCCUGACUGACCGAUAGUGAACCAGUACCGUGAGGGAAAGGCGAAAAGAACCCCGGCGAGGGGAGUGAAAAAGAACCUGAAACCGUGUACGUACAAGCAGUGGGAGCCUCUUUAUGGGGUGACUGCGUACCUUUUGUAUAAUGGGUCAGCGACUUAUAUUCUGUAGCAAGGUUAACCGAAUAGGGGAGCCGAAGGGAAACCGAGUCUUAACUGGGCGUUAAGUUGCAGGGUAUAGACCCGAAACCCGGUGAUCUAGCCAUGGGCAGGUUGAAGGUUGGGUAACACUAACUGGAGGACCGAACCGACUAAUGUUGAAAAAUUAGCGGAUGACUUGUGGCUGGGGGUGAAAGGCCAAUCAAACCGGGAGAUAGCUGGUUCUCCCCGAAAGCUAUUUAGGUAGCGCCUCGUGAAUUCAUCUCCGGGGGUAGAGCACUGUUUCGGCAAGGGGGUCAUCCCGACUUACCAACCCGAUGCAAACUGCGAAUACCGGAGAAUGUUAUCACGGGAGACACACGGCGGGUGCUAACGUCCGUCGUGAAGAGGGAAACAACCCAGACCGCCAGCUAAGGUCCCAAAGUCAUGGUUAAGUGGGAAACGAUGUGGGAAGGCCCAGACAGCCAGGAUGUUGGCUUAGAAGCAGCCAUCAUUUAAAGAAAGCGUAAUAGCUCACUGGUCGAGUCGGCCUGCGCGGAAGAUGUAACGGGGCUAAACCAUGCACCGAAGCUGCGGCAGCGACGCUUAUGCGUUGUUGGGUAGGGGAGCGUUCUGUAAGCCUGUGAAGGUGUGCUGUGAGGCAUGCUGGAGGUAUCAGAAGUGCGAAUGCUGACAUAAGUAACGAUAAAGCGGGUGAAAAGCCCGCUCGCCGGAAGACCAAGGGUUCCUGUCCAACGUUAAUCGGGGCAGGGUGAGUCGACCCCUAAGGCGAGGCCGAAAGGCGUAGUCGAUGGGAAACAGGUUAAUAUUCCUGUACUUGGUGUUACUGCGAAGGGGGGACGGAGAAGGCUAUGUUGGCCGGGCGACGGUUGUCCCGGUUUAAGCGUGUAGGCUGGUUUUCCAGGCAAAUCCGGAAAAUCAAGGCUGAGGCGUGAUGACGAGGCACUACGGUGCUGAAGCAACAAAUGCCCUGCUUCCAGGAAAAGCCUCUAAGCAUCAGGUAACAUCAAUACGUACCCCAAACCGACACAGGUGGUCAGGUAGAGAAUACCAAGGCGCUUGAGAGAACUCGGGUGAAGGAACUAGGCAAAAUGGUGCCGUAACUUCGGGAGAAGGCACGCUGAUAUGUAGGUGAAGUCCCUCGCGGAUGGAGCUGAAAUCAGUCGAAGAUACCAGCUGGCUGCAACUGUUUAUUAAAAACACAGCACUGUGCAAACACGAAAGUGGACGUAUACGGUGUGACGCCUGCCCGGUGCCGGAAGGUUAAUUGAUGGGGUCAGCGCAAGCGAAGCUCUUGAUCGAAGCCCCGGUAAACGGCGGCCGUAACUAUAACGGUCCUAAGGUAGCGAAAUUCCUUGUCGGGUAAGUUCCGACCUGCACGAAUGGCGUAAUGAUGGCCAGGCUGUCUCCACCCGAGACUCAGUGAAAUUGAACUCGCUGUGAAGAUGCAGUGUACCCGCGGCAAGACGGAAAGACCCCGUGAACCUUUACUAUAGCUUGACACUGAACAUUGAGCCUUGAUGUGUAGGAUAGGUGGGAGGCUUAGAAGUGUGGACGCCAGUCUGCAUGGAGCCGGCCUUGAAAUACCACCCUUUAAUGUUUGAUGUUCUAACGUUGACCCGUAAUCCGGGUUGCGGACAGUGUCUGGUGGGUAGUUUGACUGGGGCGGUCUCCUCCUAAAGAGUAACGGAGGAGCACGAAGGUUGGCUAAUCCUGGUCGGACAUCAGGAGGUUAGUGCAAUGGCAUAAGCCAGCUUGACUGCGAGCGUGACGGCGCGAGCAGGUGCGAAAGCAGGUCAUAGUGAUCCGGUGGUUCUGAAUGGAAGGGCCAUCGCUCAACGGAUAAAAGGUACUCCGGGGAUAACAGGCUGAUACCGCCCAAGAGUUCAUAUCGACGGCGGUGUUUGGCACCUCGAUGUCGGCUCAUCACAUCCUGGGGCUGAAGUAGGUCCCAAGGGUAUGGCUGUUCGCCAUUUAAAGUGGUACGCGAGCUGGGUUUAGAACGUCGUGAGACAGUUCGGUCCCUAUCUGCCGUGGGCGCUGGAGAACUGAGGGGGGCUGCUCCUAGUACGAGAGGACCGGAGUGGACGCAUCACUGGUGUUCGGGUUGUCAUGCCAAUGGCACUGCCCGGUAGCUAAAUGCGGAAGAGAUAAGUGCUGAAAGCAUCUAAGCACGAAACUUGCCCCGAGAUGAGUUCUCCCUGACUCCUUGAGAGUCCUGAAGGAACGUUGAAGACGACGACGUUGAUAGGCCGGGUGUGUAAGCGCAGCGAUGCGUUGAGCUAACCGGUACUAAUGAACCGUGAGGCUUAACCUU
rnacentral:rRNA from 1 species